UACGGAGGGUGCGAACGUUAAUCGGAAUCACUGGGCGUAAAGCGCGCGUAGGCGGUCUGUUAAGUGGGAUGUGAAAUCCCCGGGCUUAACCUGGGAAUUGCAUUUCAAACUGGCCGACUAGAGUACGGUAGAGGGAGGUAGAAUUUCCUGUGUAGCGGUGAAAUGCGUAGAGAUGUGGAGGAACACCGAUGGCGAAGGCAGCCCCCUGGGUUAACACUGACGCUCAGGCACGAAAGCGUGGGGAGCAAACAGG
rnacentral:rRNA from 1 species